CUUGGUCAUUUAGAGGAAGUAAAAGUCGUAACAAGGUUUCCGUAGUGAACCUGCGGAAGGAUCAUUAUUGAAUAAGCUUGGUUGGGUUGUUGCUGGCUCUCCGGAGCAUGUGCACGCCUGACAACCAACCUUUUUACCACCUGUGCACCUUUUGUAGACCUGGAUACCUUUCGAGGAAACUCGGUUUUGAGGAUUGCCGUGCGCAACCGGCUUUCCUUGCAUUUCCGGUCUAUGUUUUUAUAUACCCCUAUACAUGUUUUAGAAUGUCAUUAAUGGGCUUAACUGUCCUUAAAAUCUAUACAACUUUCAACAACGGAUCUCUUGGCUCUCGCAUCGAUGAAGAACGCAGCGAAAUGCGAUAAGUAAUGUGAAUUGCAGAAUUCAGUGAAUCAUCGAAUCUUUGAACGCACCUUGCGCUCCUUGGUAUUCCGAGGAGCAUGCCUGUUUGAGUGUCAUGAAAUUCUCAACCUUUUUCAGCAUUUAUGUUGAUAAAAGGCUUGGAUGUGGGAGUUUGCGGGCUUCUCAGAAGUCGGCUCUCCUUAAAUUCAUUAGCGGGACCUUUGUUGCCCAGCUUUAGUGUGAUAAUUAUCUACGCUAUCGUUGAAAGCAGCUUUUAAUGGGGUACAGCUUCUAAUCGUCUCAUUUUGAGACAGUUUUUGACAAUUUGACCUCAAAUCAGGUAGGACUACCCGCUGAACUUAAGCAUAUCAAUAAGCGGAGGA
rnacentral:misc_RNA from 1 species